GAAUCUUAUAAAAACACAAACCCGCUUUAAAAAAGAAAACCAAAAAAGGAAAAACACAAACGCCAUAUUUCCCGAUUGAAAUUUCAGACUCACUCUGACUUCCCGAUGAAACAGAGAGAGGCGAUGAGGGCACGGAGAAAGAAGCAGAGAAAGAGAGGCGAUGAAAUCAAAAAGUUUCAAAAACCGAUUUUGCAGACCCAAAACCUAGGCAGAACGGUAAACAAAGAAGGCAUGGAGUGGGGACUGGGGAGAGAGAAAAAUCUGCCAUAAUCAAAAGGGAAAGAGCGCAGAGUUCGUUUGAACCAUACACCGUCCGUUCCCUUGCCAGAUCUCGACCACCAGAUUACCUGGACUGACAUCGACAACGAAUGAUUGAGAGGGAUACAGAGACAGUGUUCGUGAAUGUUGCUGCCACCAGCGUCAAUUUGGCUUCCUACACCGUUAGUAGCCUCGCCAUAGAAGAAAAAUCUAUGGACCAUCAACACUGUAAGACCAUAUAGCGAUAGAGUGAGAACUACCACCGCUGUGCCAAGAGGGAGAGUUGCGAAACCAAGAGAUACUUAUGUUGAAGACAAUGGAAGAACAAGUGUAUUUCCAAAGUUUCAGAAUGAACAGGAGGUAGAUGUGAAAAACACACCGGCGCAGUUUCGCUGCCCAAGAAUCAUGAUUUAGUCAUGAGCUGCAUUGAUAUGGAGUUCUUUCCAGCAUGACUUCCUCCAUUUUAUCCUUUCGAGAAGGUUUCUGUGGAACCGAACCUUUCAAAGUAACCACAAGUAUACAUCCUUCAAAGAGUCCAAAUGCAAGUUCUGCAAAAGUUCAUUGUUGCAUUGCUUCAGCAGUAUACAAUUAGCUUUUCUCCUGAAAUUUUUUUUGGUGAAGGUACGCUUGGUUGUGUUUAUAGGGGUAAGCUACCCGAUUGAGAGGUAAGAUUCUUUUAACUUAAUAAGAACUAAUUUGCCAGGAUGAUGGCGUGGCUGUUUGAUUGUGUGGCUUCUACUUUAGAAUGCCUCAUGUACGCUUGUAUUUGUUUUCAUUUUUUCCCCUUCAUCUUCUCUAUCCUCAUUAGGAGUAGGAGAGUAGUCGAGAAAGAGCCAUAGACAAAUAAGAAAAUGCAUUAGUGAAGUUUAGAAGAAUGCAAAAAUUGUCAAUAUCCUUAUGCUUCAAGAAAUUUAUGGAAAAGGAUUAUGCUAAAAAGCAUCAACCAUAUGUACAUGGCUUAGGAAAGGAGUAGGUAGCUGUAGAUUUCUCUAUGAGGUUUCACAAAUGUAACUUUGAUUUAGUGCCACCAUCUUUUAGUUUUUAAUGGGGCAGUACAGUGAUUUGUAUUGAUAAAACUCUACAAUUUUAACUUUUUCAAGAGUUUUGGUCUU